rnacentral:rRNA from 1 species
UACGGGGGGGGUAAGCGUUGUUCGGAAUUACUGGGCGUAAAGGGCUCGUAGGCGGCCAACUAAGUCAGACGUGAAAUCCCUCAGCUUAACUGGGGAACUGCGUCUGAUACUGAUGAGCUUGAGUGCAGGAGAGGAACGCGGAAUUCCAGGUGUAGCGGUGAAAUGCGUAGAUAUCUGGAGGAACACCGGUGGCGAAGGCGGCGUUCUGGACUGCAACUGACACUGAGAAACGAAAGCCAGGGGAGCAAACGGG